rnacentral:rRNA from 1 species
CGUUCCCGGACCUUGUACACACCGCCCCGUCAAGCCAUGGGAGUUGGGGAGGACCUGAAGGCAGUUGCUGUGAGGCGCUGUUUAGGGGUUAAAACCAAUGACUGGGGCU